UCGGCAUCUCCACAGAGUGUCAGCAUUCAACCGAGCAAGGCUGGACAUGAAGAAAGAAAAAAAAAAAAAAAACACACACUCCCGGAUGCAGUCGCCCCUGGCAACGAAAGAUCCUGCUCGCAGUACACAGGAACCACCAGUAGGGGGAAUCGCUGCAGGCUGUGAUUUUCGGGGCUUUGGUUUGGCAUUCUGGUGUGCAAGGAAUUGAGAUUUGCGUUGAUAUAUUUCUGCCAGUUUAUCUCUGAAGGACAACUCGAAAACCACCCUAUGCCCAAAAUGCUCACUUCAAGCCAAAAUGGCAGACUUCCUGUCUUUUUCUCUUAUUGCCUCUUGAAACGUUGCUUUUUGUUCUCGGUCGACUCAUGAUAGACAUGGACACCAAAAUGUUUUUUUUUUUUGCAAUGUGGAGUGGGCUCCAGGUGCUAAAUUGUUCAAAAUUUUCAGGACCCGCACCUCAUCCCUGAAGGACCCCUCUGGAAAUAUGGCCCGAAUGGCCACGAGAACCAAAAUGGCUGACUUCCUGUCUUUUUCUCUUAUUGCCUCUUGAAACGUUGCUUUUUGUUCUCGGUCGACUCGUGAUAGACACGGACACCAAAAUGUUUUUUUUUUGCAAUGUGGAGUGGGCUCCAGGUGCUAAAUUGUUCAAAAAUUUCCAGACCCGCACCUCAUCCCUGAAGGACCCCUCUGGAAAUAUGGCCCGAAUGGCCACGAGAACCAAAAUGGCUGACUUCCUGUCUUUUUCUCUUAUUGCCUCUUGAAACGUUGCUUUUUGUUCUCGGUCGACUCAUGAUAGACAUGGACACCAAAAUGUUUUUUUUGCAAUGUGGAGUGGGCUCCAGGUGCUAAAUUGUUCAAAAAUUUCCAGACCCGCACCUCAUCCCUGAAGGACCCCUCUGGAAAUAUGGCCACGAGAACCAAAAUGGCUGACUUCUUCCAUCUCGCUUCCUUUCUUUUUUUUGGUGGGACCGGUCAGGAAAGACACGUCAACCAGUUUUAGGUUGCUGUGUGGCUUCAGUGGCAGAAUUUUUAAAACGAA